rnacentral:misc_RNA from 1 species
GAAAUGCGAUACGUAGUGUGAAUUGCAGAAUCAGUGAAUCAUCGAAUCUUUGAACGCAUAUUGCACCCAUUGGUAUUCCGAUGGGUAUGCCUGUUUGAGUGUCAUGAAAAUCUCAUUCCCAUCAAGUUUUUUACUUGGUUUGGGAGUGGACUUGAGCUUGCGUUGGCUAGCUCGAAAUGCAUGGUGGUGAAAGACCUGCCGAGUUUAACGUCAUAUCAAUUUCGCUAGACUCUGGCGGUGCUCGGAGCCCUCAUAACCAACCUUUUUAAAAUCUUGGCCUCAAAUCAGGUAGGAUUACCCGCUGAACUUAA